rnacentral:rRNA from 1 species
GAUGAACGCUAGCUACAGGCUUAACACAUGCAAGUCGAGGGGCAUCAGGAAGAAAGCUUGCUUUCUUUGCUGGCGACCGGCGCACGGGUGAGUAACACGUAUCCAACCUGCCCAUAAUCGGGGAAUAGCCCAGCGAAAGUUGGAUUAAUGCUCCAUGUGAGUAGAGGGGGCAUCUCUUUUAUUUGAAACGUAAGGAUUAUGGGUGAGCACGCUUCUGAUUAGGUAGUUGGUGAGGUAACGGCUCACCAAGCCGACGAUCAGUAGGGGUUCUGAGAGGAAGGUCCCCCACAUUGGAACUGAGACACGGUCCAA